rnacentral:rRNA from 1 species
UACGUAGGGGGCAAGCGUUGUCCGGAAUCAUUGGGCGUAAAGAGCGUGUAGGCGGCCUGAUAAGUCGGUUGUGAAAGUCAAGGGCUCAACCCUUGAAUGCCGACCGAUACUGUCAGGCUAGAGUCCGGAAGAGGCGAGUGGAAUUCCGUGGUGUAGCGGUGAAAUGCGCAGAUAUCAGGAGGAACACCAAUGGCGAAGGCAGCUCGCUGGGACGGUACUGACGCUGAGACGCGAAAGCGUGGGGAGCGAACAGG